CCCCACGGGCUCAUGCUCUGUAAUCAAGUCUGAGGCUUAAAGAUAUAAUGGAGCCCUGAAAACACGGGUCAAUCUUAGCAGCACAAGAGCUAAAAAAGCAACCAUUUUGUGUCCCGUUCCUUACAAAGAGACCUUGACAAAACCCGAACCCAGUGCCAAGCAAGACAGGGCUUCUCUGUACACUGUCACACCAAGCCGGGUGAAAGUGUUCACCAGGAGGCAGUUGGCAAUCUCCAGAACACAGGAAAUCCUGUGGGUUGAAAUUUCAAGCAACUCAAAAUGACUCAAAGAGCUACACUGAAGGACCGAAACUAUAAAAUGCUUUGAAAAACAAAAGACCAAACUCAAGGUGAUAAGGCCAACGGAACCGGUCCAGACUGGAAGAGGCUCCACGGGUGGCGUGCCACAUGGAGUGGCAAACCAAAAUCCUGAUCCACAGCAUCCUGCCACAGAAACCCAGUCUGAAGCAGCUGAACAACUGGAUUGACAGUAUUAAGUGAUGUCACUAGCUGUCUUCAGGGGCGAUGGCAACACCGUGGCUGUCAGCCUGAUCUCAGAGACGUAUGCAAAAGAGUCACCACUUAAAUAACACAGCACCGGGGGCUGACUCUGAAACAGGACAGGGGACUGGAGAAGUGGCUUGCUUAGCACGUGCAAAGCUCCGGGUCCCAUCCUCGGCACCACAUAAAACCUGGUGUGUGCUACAACAAUAUUCCCAGUGUUCAGCAGAUAAGCGUAUUCUCCAUUCCUUAUCAAGGAAACGUCUCUGUUUGAUAGACUGAGAACACCACGUAAAACCACAGCCAAUCAAAACGCAAAGUUGUGGAGCCCUGUCUCUAUGGAUACAUCUCCCAAAUACCUCUGUGCUUAAGGCUCAGGGAACACUGUGGAAGAGGGGGCGGAAAGACUCCGUGAGACAAAGGACCAGGGACUUUCCUCUCAGAUUACAUCUCUUAGCAACAGAAGAAGCCACACCCAUGAACUCUGCAACAUGGUUGCUCGAGCCUGAGCUAGACAAAGACGACACUGACGAGUGUUCUAAACCCAACGGAGGAAGAGCCCAGGAGACCUCGAUGCUACACAAAGCAACCUAGGAGAGCUGGCAGUGGAGGAGUGGCUCUCCCCAGGGAAGGGCACACUGGAUGUGCCAAAUGGCCCACCUGAAAGCAUACAUAAAGUAACAUUAUAUGGACUCAA